rnacentral:rRNA from 1 species
GACGAACCGUCCUAACGUUGUUCGGAAUCACUGGGCUUAAAGGGCGCGUAGGCGGGUUCCCAAGUCGGUGGUGAAAUCUUUCGGCCCAACCGGAAAACAGCCGCCGAUACUGGGAGUCUUGAGGGAGGUAGGGGUCGAUGGAACUUCCGGUGGAGCGGUGAAAUGCGUAGAUAUCGGAAGGAACGCCGGUGGCGAAAGCGAUCGACUGGACCUUUUCUGACGCUGAGGCGCGAAAGCCAGGGGAGCAACGGG